CUUUCAACCGCGACAGAGCCUGGACCAACUGAGCCGAGCACGCUUAGGGGAAGAAGCUAAGUCGUUCAGCACCGAAAGCCGCUCUUUUCCUUGUCUCUUGGUUCCAGAGGCCUUCUGCUGUCCUGGGCCACACGGGUACACAGCUCGGGGUAAUUGAGACAAACAGCUCGCAGCAACCAGCGAAGGCCUCGUAGAGUCUUCCUGUCCGACCAGCGUCGCAGGUCCAUUAAGGCUGAACAAGGCUCCUGAUACAGAAAGGAAAAAGUAGGUCAGCAAGAACCUCCUUGACCUCCUUCAUCCGCUGUCUGUCCCAAGAGUCCACCACGAAGAUGAUGCCAUGGGCUUCUCCGUAGAGCUCCCUCCAGGCUUCUCUUGCCUCUGCUGAUCCUCCCACAUCCAGCAAGGUGACCAGGUAGUUCUCCACUCUCAGCUCAUUUCGAAUGCAGCCCUGGGUGGGUCCUGCUUCCACACCAUAGGGGACUGAAAGAACAGCAAGCAAAACAAAAGCUACAGAAGUAAUCAGGCUCACACUAAGCCUUUGGUCACCCCAUGUGGGAGGUACAGCCUGGGAAAUGUUGGAUUGGCAUUCCAACCAAUCACAGAGUCGUUUGAGCCAGUCGAUAAUCCCAUUGGAUGGCGUGGUUCUUCUUUAACUAUAACAAACUAAGGUGCAUAUAUCCCACCGGGAGAACUAAAUGUGUCUCAUGGUGUGAUCUGUGGCGUGCUGUCACAUCCUGUUCCCGCUGAAGUCUGAAAGCAGAGUGGUGGCAAAGUGACUCACAGAGGUAAUGACAUCAUAACCGCGGUGACCAGAUGUUGUCACAUUACAAUGUACGUGCAACAACCUGACAGGUACAAUUGGACCUAAAGCUUAUUACAGACCUAUUUUUUUCUUGUGAGGUACAUUUUGAUUGGAUUAGAUGUGGCGUGAUAAUUUCACAAAUAACAAUGUUGAAAGGGACUGUAGCUAACCAACAUGAUACCAUGUUUAUACUAAUAGUUAUUAGUGGGUCUAUAGUGCACGAUUAUGUGUAUACUAAUUAUGUUCUGCAUGUGAACCUAUAAAGAUAUGGCAUUUAAUUCUUUUUACAGGGCAUUUUUCUCAUCCGGCCAGGGACAACAGAGGAAAAUCAAUUUUAGGCUGUUUACCACCGACUAGAGAACACUGUUCCUGUCAGAUAAAAGAAAUAAAACAUAAACAAACAAAGACAGAUUCAGUAUGGAUUAUAACAAGAGUAUAUUUCACGUGAAAACAUGUUUCUUUACACUUUGUUUAGAAUAGAUCAAUGUCAUUUUCUCACUUUAAAUAUUAAUGUUCAGUUGCAACCCGGGCUCACUUUAACCUUUACAAGAACAUAUUAGAUAAUAGUAUUAAUACAUAGAGUCCAAUACAUCUUGUAAUGCAAGCAGGAGCCACUAGAAGGCCUCAUAUUCACAGGAUUUAUUUUCACUGCUCAUGGCUGCUGUGCAUAUUGACCACUACGUAAAUAACAUAAAGGCUCCAUUUUCUAGUCCUUGAUAAGCCAUGAUUAGUCUAUUCAUAACUGAACAUACAUAUUUUUGAUGUGCACCCUCUAUUAACACCAAUCUACAGAAGUGAUUAUUUUCUAUCUUAAUGUUUAUCUCUUAAAUCUAAAGAAAACUCACAGUGGAGUGAGGGGCAGAGUUUCUGCAGCGAGUAUGAAAUUAUACAUUAAGCAAAGGAGUGUUGCUGCCAGCCUUCAGAGACCUGCAGCCUGGUUGUUGUGCAGGCCUUAUCUCAUUAUGUCAUUAAAUCAAUGUCCAGUCAGGAUCUGCCCUCUUCUGCUGAGUAGACUCAUCCCAGACUCUGACCACAGCCCUGUGUCAGCUGACUGACAGGCACACACACACACACACACGCACAUACUGCAAAAACAGCAGCAGCUAAAAACCACACCCCCCAUCUGCUCCUGUUCUCCACAUUGUAAACAUGUUUCAAGAGACCUCUGACCGAUGAUUUUGCUAUCCGGGUUACAGUCAGAUUACUUUACUGCAUCUGCUAUGAAAUAUUGUCACUGAAGGAAUCGUUCACCACAGUCCAAAUAAAAACUGUGAUAAGUAUGAAGCUACGUUCAGGGGGCAGUUUGUCCAGCUUAGCAAAAUGACUGGCACCAGAGGGAAGCAAAUAGCCUGAUUAUUUGUUUCCUCUUUUCAAAUUUAACAGAACAAAGCCCACCAGCACCUGAAGUUCACUAAUUAACUCUUUAGAACUGGCUUGUUUACGGUGUACAAAAACUGAAGUAUAUAACAGACACACACAGAUGUUACGAAGGGUCAUGUGCCAGGCAAAGAGUAGAGCCUGCAGGAAGUGAAGGCACCUGACCAAGGGACAGCAUGACCUGCCAAAUGGUGAUAUUUUUUUUUAACACUUCUUUGUUUUGUUAGAAUUAAACAAGAUGAAAUGUAUUAAUCAGAAAGCUUUAGAAGUUCUGGUACGUAGCUUUUGUUACCUACUAGAAGAGCCAGUCAAGUUGUUUCCCUCUGUUUCCAGUUUUUAUACAAAGCUAAGCUGACUGUCUCCUGGCUGUAGCUUCAUAAUUAAUGUACAGACAUUAAAAUGGUGUCACUAGGCAAGAAAGCAAAGGCAAAUUUCCCAAACUGUCAAACUCUCUCUUUAAAGACAAUUCAUGUCGAAGACAGGAAGAGCAAUUUAUUGCUCUGCUAAAGAAUUUUAAACAUAGACAAGCAGUGUACCUGAUUGGCCCCUGAGUGAUAACAGUGUACAGUUCGUGAUUUCCCCAUAAUGAUGUUUCCAUCUUCCACUUCCCCUCGACUCCACAGAGCAUGCAUCCUCUGCAGUCUGAAGUCACUGACCUACACCAAUGCUUCACAACACACAUGCAUUAGUAAUGACAAGCCUUCGCCCCUUUCACAAUGCUAUGCUGAUGUGUCUGAAUCUGAUUAGACAGGGAGACGUGGACAUGUUUGGGACGAUCUGUGUUCAAACUGUGCCACGUUUCAUAGUGAAAGAGAAACAGAACAACUCACCUUGUUGUUGUGUUUAACAACACAAAGACACCUACCAUGACGGUAGUUUAAGGGCUUGAUUUCUUGAUGUUUUUCAGAAAAUAAGACAGGACUUACUUACACAGACUGGUUUUGCAUUGGAAAUAUUAACUAUGUCAGUACAGAUUGUGUGCUUCUCAUACAUCUUUCAAACAGGUACUCUUUGUUUGCAUAAGUAGUUGAGCAAAUAUAGAACUCACUCAGUUUCACCUGAGUCUCAAAGUGUCAGUGUUGUCUAAUGGGCAUGUAGCCUCAAGAAACAGGAAUACAGUGAGGAGAAGCCUGCGGAAAACGUGAAUGAGAUGACAGAGUGACAUUUUAGAAGCUGAUUCAGUCUGAGUGUGUGUGUGUGUCUGUUUUGCACCUGUUCACAUGAGGCCUGCAAGUCACCAUAACACUGCCAAGUCCGCCCUGUUGGUGGAAACUAAAAAUGGAAGUGGGGAGAAACUGAUCUCUCUGUGCUCUCCCUCCACAGUGCUUCCACUUGGAUAGGACGAAUACUGUACGUAACAAAGCUGCAGUGCAUUUCUCCCA